GGAUAACCUGCCCUUGGGUCCGGCAUAACCCCGGGAAACUGGGGAUAAUUCCGGAUAACGCAUAUAUGCUGGAAUGCUUUGUGCGUCAAAUGGAUUCGUCUGCCCAAGGAUGGGUCUGCGGCCUAUCAGGUAGUAGUGGGUGUAAUGUACCUACUAGCCGACGACGGGUACGGGUUGUGAGAGCAAGAGCCCGGAGAUGGAUUCUGAGACAUGAAUCCAGGCCCUACGGGGCGCAGCAGGCGCGAAAACUUUACAAUGCGGGAAACCGUGAUAAGGGGACACCGAGUGCCAGCAUCAUAUGCUGGCUGUCCAGGUGUGUAAAAUACACCUGUUAGCAAGGGCCGGGCAAGACCGGUGCCAGCCGCCGCGGUAACACCGGCGGCCCGAGUGGUGAUCGUGAUUAUUGGGUCUAAAGGGUCCGUAGCCGGUUUGGUCAGUCCUCCGGGAAAUCUGAUAGCUCAACUAUUAGGCUUUCGGGGGAUACUGCCAGACUUGGAACCGGGAGAGGUAAGAGGUACUACAGGGGUAGGAGUGAAAUCUUGUAAUCCCUGUGGGACCACCUGUGGCGAAGGCGUCUUACCAGAACGGGUUCGACGGUGAGGGACGAAAGCUGGGGGCACGAACCGGAUUAGAUACCCGGGUAGUCCCAGCCGUAAACGAUGCUCGCUAGGUGUCAGGCAUGGCGCGACCGUGUCUGGUGCCGCAGGGAAGCCGUGAAGCGAGCCACCUGGGAAGUACGGCCGCAAGGCUGAAACUUAAA
rnacentral:rRNA from 1 species